ACUCAGGAGCUGGGAGCUCUCUGGGGAAGGAGGGAGCCGGGCCUGCAGAGUUGAGCCGGCGAGGACACCUGCAGCCUUGGGCCCUCGGCUCCCCCUACUCCAGGCCCUGCAGACUCCCAGAUCCUCACCGCCGAUGCCAAUGCCAAUGCCGAUGCAUGAAGUCCGGGUCCAGAGCCUGAUGGCCAUGGGCUGUUGCCUGGCAACCGCCUCUGAGAGAGAAGUUGAAGGCUCACCAGUCAGGCACCGGUGACGGCGCUGGUGUUCCUCAGGGCCUUUGCACAGGCUGUGCCCGCACCCCACCCGUAAGUGUGAGAUGAAGUCCUCCCGGAGCCGCCCCAGGCCUGGAUCGGCGAGGCCUCUCCUCUAGGCUUCCCGGAGACCCCAGCCUCACCGUGUCCCCAGGCCUGGAAGCGCCUAGCACGCAGUAAGUGUUUGCCACAUGUUUACCGAAGACAAGAAGAUAGAUGGAGGCCGAGCGGGCGGUGGGGGUGGGGGUGGAGGAUGGGAGACUAUAAUCUGCUGGAGGCCGAGUGGUGGUGACGGGUCCCAGGCGCCAGGCUGCGGGCAGGGGUGGCCUCGGUGGGACACCGAGGGGCCUUCCCCGAGCAGAAGUGACCCAGGGAUCCCAGGGACCCAGAUCUGCCUCUGCGGGGAGGGCAGGGCAGAAAGAGGAAGUGCAACUCCACACCCGUGAGCUCUGGGAAGCUAGGGAUGCUGUGUCGGAGCCAUGAGGUGGCUGCACCUUGCCUGGCACGGAGGUCCUGGGACAUGAGAGUCUCUAGCCUCAGGCCCCCAUCUGGUCCCUCGGUGCUGUCAUGCCCGCCUGGAAUCCUGGCGGGGCUGCCCCGAGCGCCUGCCGAAAGAGGACAAUGCUAUGUGUCCCCCAUCAGACCCUGACCUCCUCAGAACCAGGGCCGUGUCUCCACCCUCAGACUAGAGGGCUCCCUGAGACCAGGGGCUGUGCCUCUACCAUCAGACCGGUGGUUUUCCAGAGAGGCUGGGGCCCAGGCUCCUCCCAUUCCUGGCAGCCAGGAGCGUGCUGUCCCCUCCCUCCUCUCCCCCACAAUGCCAACGCCAGAGUUGACCACAGUGUAGGGUGGAGGCCUCGGCUACUGACGCUGAGGUCCGUCCUUCAAACAAGAUGAA